CAGUCGCCGCGGUAAUACGUAGGUGGCAAGCGUUGUCCGGAAUUAUUGGGCGUAAAGGGCUCGCAGGCGGUUUCUUAAGUCUGAUGUGAAAGCCCCCGGCUCUACCGGGGAGGGUCAUUGGAAACUGGGAAACUUGAGUGCAGAAGAGGAGAGUGGAAUUCCACGUGUAGCGGUGAAAUGCGUAGAGAUGUGGAGGAACACCAGUGGCGAAGGCGACUCUCUGGUCUGUAACUGACGCUGAGGAGCGAAAGCGUGGGGAGCGAACAGGAUUAGAUACCCCAGUAGUCCCUGUCUCUUAUAC
rnacentral:rRNA from 1 species